rnacentral:rRNA from 1 species
GACGAACGCUGGCGGCGUGCCUAAUACAUGCAAGUAGAACGCUGAAGAGAGGAGCUUGCUCUUCUUGGAUGAGUUGCGAACGGGUGAGUAACGCGUAGGUAACCUGCCUUGUAGCGGGGGAUAACUAUUGGAAACGAUAGCUAAUACCGCAUAACAAUGGAUGACACAUGUCAUUUAUUUGAAAGGGGCAAUUGCUCCACUACAAGAUGGACCUGCGUUGUAUUAGCUAGUAGGUGAGGUAAUGGCUCACCUAGGCGACGAUACAUAGCCGACCUGAGAGGGGGAGCGGCCACACUGGGAUUGGGACACGGCCCAGACCCCUACGGGAGGCAGAAGCAGGGAAUCUUCGGCAAUGGGGGCAACCCUGACCGAGCAACGCCGCGUGAGUGAAGAAGGUUUUCGGAUCGUAAAGAUCUGUUGUAAGUCAAGAACGGGUGUGAGAGUGGAAAGUUCACACUGUGACGGUAGCUUACCAGAAAGGGACGGCUAACUACGUG